rnacentral:rRNA from 1 species
GUUGUAGUCUGGAGAAGUGCUUUCCGCGCUGGACCGUGUAUAAGUCUCUUGGAACAGAGCGUCAUAGAGGGUGAGAAUCCCGUCUUUGACACGGACUACCAGUGCUUUGUGAUGCGCUCUCAAAGAGUCGAGUUGUUUGGGAAUGCAGCUCAAAAUGGGUGGUGAAUUCCAUCUAAAGCUAAAUAUUGGCGAGAGACCGAUAGCGAACAAGUACCGUGAGGGAAAGAUGAAAAGCACUUUGGAAAGAGAGUUAAACAGUACGUGAAAUUGCUGAAAGGGAAACGCUUGAAGUCAGUCGCGUCUUCCGGAACUCAGCCUUCCUCUUGGUUGGUGCACUUUCCGGUUGACGGGCCAGCAUCAAUUUCGACCGUCGGAUAAGGGCUGGAGAAAUGUGGCACCUUUCGGGGUGUGUUAUAGUCUUCAGUCGCAUGCGUCGGUUGGGAUUGAGGAUCGCAGCGCGCCGCAAGGCAGGGGGUUAGCCCACUUUCGCGCUUAGGAUGCUGGCAUAAUGGCUUUAAACGACCCGUCUUGAAACACGGACCAAGGAGUCUAACAAACCUGCGAGUGUUUGGGUGGAAAACCCGAGCGCGUAAUGAAAGUGAAAG